rnacentral:rRNA from 1 species
GCAGACAUCCAUGCCACCUUGAACAAGCCCGAUCCCAUCUGAUCUUGGAAACUAAAUAGGGUUGGGCCUGAUUAGUACUUGGAUGGGAGACCACCUUGGAAGACCAGGUACUGUAGUCA